UACGUAGGGUGCAAGCGUUGUCCGGAAUUAUUGGGCGUAAAGAGCUCGUAGGCGGUUUGUCGCGUCUGCUGUGAAAACUCAGGGCUUAACCCUGAGCCUGCAGUGGGUACGGGCAGACUAGAGUGUGGUAGGGGAGAUCGGAAUUCCUGGUGUAGCGGUGGAAUGCGCAGAUAUCAGGAGGAACACCGGUGGCGAAGGCGGAUCUCUGGGCAAUAACUGACGCUGAGGAGCGAAAGCGUGGGGAGCGAACAGG
rnacentral:rRNA from 1 species